UACGGGGGGGGCAAGCGUUGUUCGGAAUUACUGGGCGUAAAGGGCUCGUAGGUGGUCAACUAAGUCAUACGUGAAAUCCCUCGGCUUAACCGGGGAACUGCGCCUGAUACUGGUUGACUUGAGUUUGGGAGAGGGACGCGGAAUUCCAGGUGUAGCGGUGAAAUGCGUAGAUAUCUGGAGGAACACCGGUGGCGAAGGCGGCGUCCCGGACCAAUACUGACACUGAGGAGCGAAAGCCAGGGGAGCAAACGGG
rnacentral:rRNA from 1 species